rnacentral:sRNA from 2 species
ACUCAACGCGAAUUCUUUUAAAAAGGGUGAGUUAUAGUUGUAAAAGCGAGCCGUGUCCCAAGGGAGAGCGGAUACUUGACCAGCUAAUUAACCCUAAACUUGUUUUAAGGAGUUU